CUACGGAGGGUCCGAGCGUUAAUCGGAAUUACUGGGCGUAAAGCGCGCGUAGGCGGAUAUUUAAGUCAGAUGUGAAAUCCCUGGGCUCAACCUAGGAACUGCAUUUGAAACUGGAUAUCUAGAGUAUGGUAGAGGUGAGUGGAAUUUCAGGUGCAGCGGUGAAAUGCGUAGAGAUCUGAAGGAACAUCAGUGGCGAAGGCGAAUCACUGGGCCAUUACUGACGCUGAGGUGCGAAAGCGUGGGUAGCAAACAGGAUUAGAAACCCGGGUAGUCC
rnacentral:rRNA from 1 species